AUGACGCCCACCUUCGCCGUGCGCCGGCGAGAACCAGUCCUCGUCGUCCCGGCCUCCCCGACACCCCGGGAAACAAAGCGCCUCUCCGACAUCGACAGCAAGGAGUCUCUGCGGGUGCUCAUGCCGGGCGUCUUCGUCUACCGCGGUGGCCCGGCGCGCGGCGACGACGACCCGGUGGACGUCAUCGGCCGAGCGCUGUCCGAGGCGCUGGUGCACUACUACCCCCUCGCCGGGCGCUUCAGGGAGGUGGAAGGUGGCAAGCUGGUCGUGGAGUGCACCGGCGAGGGCGUGCUGUUCGCGGAGGCCGACGCCGACGUGCGGCUGGCGGAGCUCGAGGAGGCUGCCGGUGGUGGUCAGGGGCUGACGCCGCCGUUCCCGUGCAUGGAUGAGCUCCUCCUCGACGUGGAUUGCUCCGGCGGUGGCGUGCUCACUUGGCCGUUGGUGGUGAUCCAGGCCACGCGGCUCCUCUGCGGCGGCUUCGUCUUCGGCAUGCGCAUCAACCACGCCAUGUGCGACGCCGCAGGAGUCUACCUGUUCAUGUCCGCCGUCGCCGACCUCGCCCGAGGGCUCCCCGCGCCGGCCGUCGCGCCUUCCUGGUCCCGCGGCCUCCUCGACGUGCCGCACACCAAGCACGACGUCGCGCCGCCCCUGCCGUUCCCGGCCCACGGAAGCGACGACACCGUCAUGCGUUCAUUCGUCUUCCGGCUCGCCGACAUCGCGUCGCUGAAGAAACGCCUCCACGUCCACGGUGCGCCGGUCGCGACGACGUUCGAGGUCCUCGCGGCGCUCCUCUGGCGCGCCCGCACGGUGGCGCUCGCACUCCCGGCGGGCGAGGUCGCGCGGCUGGGCAUCAUCGCGAGCUUCAGGAGGAACGCCGCCCUGCGGCUCCCCACGGGAUACUACGGCAACGCGUGCGUGCCGCUCAGAGCGUCGGCGCCCGCCGACGACAUGGGCGGGAGCUCGCUGGGCGACGUGGUGGAGAUGAUACAGAAGGCUAAGGCCACCGCCGUGCACGUCCGGUCGGCGGCCGACAUGUUGGCGCUGCACGGGCCGCCCCCGUUCGACUCGCCGAACAUGUUCCUCCUCUCCGACCUCCGGCACGUCGGGUUCCACCGCGUGGACUUCGGGUGGGGCGAGCCGGUGUAUGGCGGGCCGUCUCAGGUGCAUCUCGGGGGUACGUUCUUCGUGGCCGUCAAGGACGGUGACGGGGAGGACGCCGUGGCCGUGCCGGUCAUGCUGCCGAGGACGGCCAUGGGGCUGUUCGCGGCGGAGAUAGAAACCUCGCUGAAGGCUUGA
rnacentral:rRNA from 1 species